UGAUUAGCUUGUUGGCGGGGUAACGGCCCACCAAGGCAACGAUCAGUAGGGGUUCUGAGAGGAAGGUCCCCCACAUUGGAACUGAGACACGGUCCAAACUCCUACGGGAGGCAGCAGUGAGGAAUAUUGGUCAAUGGGCGAGAGCCUGAACCAGCCAAGUAGCGUGCAGGAAGACGGCCCUAUGGGUUGUAAACUGCUUUUAUAAGGGAAUAAAGUUAGUCUCGUGAGACUUUUUGCAUGUACCUUAUGAAUAAGGACCGGCUAAUUCCGUGCCAGCAGCCGCGGUAAUACGGAAGGUCCGGGCGUUAUCCGGAUUUAUUGGGUUUAAAGGGAGCGUAGGCCGGAGAUUAAGCGUGUUGUGAAAUGUAGACGCUCAACGUCUGCACUGCAGCGCGAACUGGUUUCCUUGAGUACGCACAAAGUGGGCGGAAUUCGUGGUGUAGCGGUGAAAUGCUUAGAUAUCACGAAGAACUCCGAUUGCGAAGGCAGCUCACUGGAGCGCAACUGACGCUGAAGCUCGAAAGUGCGGGUAUCGAACAGGAUUAGAUACCCUGGUAGUCCGCACGGUAAACGAUGGAUGCCCGCUGUUGGUCUGAACAGGUCAGCGGCCAAGCGAAAGCAUUAAGCAUCCCACCUGGGGAGUACGCCGGCAACGGUGAAACUCAAAGGAAUUGACGGGGGCCCGCACAAGCGGAGGAACAUGUGGUUUAAUUCGAUGAUACGCGAGGAACCUUACCCGGGCUUGAAUUGCAGAGGAAGGAUUUGGAGACAAUGACGCCCUUCGGGGUCUCUGUGAAGGUGCUGCAUGGUUGUCGUCAGCUCGUGCCGUGAGGUGUCGGCUUAAGUGCCAUAACGAGCGCAACCCCUCUCCUUAGUUGCCAUCAGGUUAAGCUGGGCACUCUGGGGACACUGCCACCGUAAGGUGUGAGGAAGGUGGGGAUGACGUCAAAUCAGCACGGCCCUUACGUCCGGGGCUACACACGUGUUACAAUGGCAGGUACAGAGAGACGGUUGUACGUAAGUACGAUCAAAUCCUUAAGGCCUGUCUCAGUUCGGACUGGGGUCUGCAACCCGACCCCACGAAGCUGGAUUCGCUAGUAAUCGCGCAUCAGCCAUGGCGCGGUGAAUACGUUCCCGGGCCUUGUACACACCGCCCGUCAAGCCAUGAAAGCCGGGGGCGCCUAAAGUCCGUGACCGUAAGGAGCGGCCUAGGGCGAAACUGGUAAUUGGGGCUAAGUCGUAACAAGGUA
rnacentral:rRNA from 1 species